CGUGGUUUGUCACAGCUGGAAAGGAGGUGGUAGACUUGGGUGGUAUAGAGAAAGCGAUGCACCACACAGAGCUCUGCAAUUAAGCUGCUUUCUUUCUGUUAAUUAAAAGCAAAUUAGUCACUGCAACAAGAGGAGCUGUCUUCUCCUAAUUGCCACCCAGCAUUGCCAACCAUGAACCUGUUGUUGAAAUGUUCUGUCUUUUCUUACACAUUCAUUUUCUGUCUUGCAGGGUCGACGGGGAAAGACAGGAGAACCAGGGACUCCAGGACCACCGGGUCCACCUGGAACAUGCGAUGCUGAAGCUGUUAAGGGUAUGAAGGGUGACCCGGGUGACGCAGGAAUGGAUGGACAGAAGGGCAAUAAAGGGGAUACUGUAUGUAACA
ensembl:lncRNA